rnacentral:rRNA from 1 species
GAUCAAGUGUCUGAAGGGCAUUUGGUGGAUGCCUUGGCAUUGAGAGGCGAUGAAGGACGUGACAGGCUGCGAAAAGCCCUGGGGAGCUGCCAGUAAGCUUUGAUCCGGGGAUCUCCGAAUGGGGCAACCCACCCAUUUUGGGUAUCGCGUGGUGAAUACAUAGCCAUGCGAGGCGAACCCGGCGAACUGAAACAUCUCAGUAGCCGGAGGAAAGGACAUCAACCGAGACUCCGUUAGUAGUGGCGAGCGAACGCGGACCAGGCCAGUGGCCUGGAGGGAACAACCGGAACGGCCUGGAACGGCCGGCCAGAGCGGGUGACAGCCCCGUACGGAUCAAUCUCCCUCCGGGUCCUCGAGUAGGGCGGGGCACGUGAAACCCUGUCUGAACGUGGGGGGACCACCCUCCAAGCCUAAGUACUCCUCAAUGACCGAUAGCGAACAAGUACCGUGAGGGAAAGGUGAAAAGCACCCCGACAAGGGGAGUGAAAGAGACCCUGAAACCGAAUGCCUACAAGCAGUAGGAGGUCCCAGAGGUCAGUUGUCAGGUAUCAGGUAUCAGAGCGCUGAUUUUGCCGGUGUGGCGAAGUCAUUGAUAUCGUCGUUCUGAUCCCUGAUGCCUGUCAUCUGGCCUCUGAGACUGACUGCGUACCUUUUGUAUAAUGGGUCAGCGAGUUGGUGUUGCGAGCGAGCUUAAGCCGAUAGGCGUAGGCGCAGCGAAAGCGAGUCUUAAUAGGGCGUAUCCCGGGCAACCAGGAUCGAGUUCGUAGCAUCAGACCCGAAACCGGGUGAUCUAGCCAUGGGCAGGUUGAAGGUGCGGUAACACGCACUGGAGGACCGAACCCACUUAUGUUGAAAAAUGAGGGGAUGACCUGUGGCUAGGGGUGAAAGGCCAAUCAAACCCGGAGAUAGCUGGUUCUCCGCGAAAACUAUUUAGGUAGUGCGUCGUGUUUUACCAUCGGGGGUAGAGCACUGGAUGGGCUAGGGGGGCGCGAGCCUUACCAAACCUAACCAAACUCCGAAUACCGAUGAGUACGAGCACGGCAGACAGACGGCGGGUGCUAAGGUCCGUCGUCGAGAGGGAAACAGCCCAGACCGCCAGCUAAGGUCCCUAAAUCAUGGCUAAGUGGGUAAGGAUGUGGGAAGGCCAAAACAACCAGGAGGUUGGCUUAGAAGCAGCCAUCCUUUAAAGAAAGCGUAAUAGCUCACUGGUCUAACAGCCGGCCUGCGCCGACGAUGUACCGGGGCUCAAGCCAUGUACCGAAGCUGCGGAUUCAGAGGUCAGUUGUCAGGUAUCAGGUAUCAGAGAGGCGCCUUUUGAGAUGGUCGCGCAUUCCUUUGAGGAUCUAGAGGUCUUUCAAAGGGCGUAUCGGCUGUCCUUGGAGGUGCAUCGGACGAGCCUUGGCUUUCCGGAGAUUGAGCAACGGGCCUUGGGCGAUCAAGUUCGCCGGGCCUCGAAAUCGAUCUGCGGGAAUAUUGCCGAAGGUUUUGGCAAGCAAUCUCAAUCAGUGGCCGAGUUCAGGCGGUUCUUGCGGAUCGCCAUGGGCUCUGCUGAUGAGAUGCGCGUGUGGUGUCGAUAUUGUCUCGAUCUCGGCUACAUUGAUGAAGAUCAAUGGCGCCGCUGGUCAAGAGAAUACCGUGAAAUCGCCAAGAUGCUGCAAGGUCUACAAGCCAAGUCCGGCAGGCCAAGCGCCUCUGAUUCCUGAUGCCUGACAUCUGACCUCUGGAUGGUAGCGGAGCGUUCCGUAUGCCUGCGAAGGUGGCCUGUGAGGGCCAUUGGAGGCAUCGGAAGUGAGAAUGCUGACAUGAGUAGCGAUAAGAGUGUGAGAAACACUCUCGCCGCAAGUCCAAGGGUUCCUGCGCAAGGCUAAUCCGCGCAGGGUGAGCCGGCCCCUAAGGCGAGGGCGAAAGCCGUAGUCGAUGGGAACCAGGUUAAUAUUCCUGGGCCCGGUGGGAUGUGACGGAUGGCGUGUGUGGUGCGGGCUUCGUGGAGUGCCCGUUGCCGUGAAGCCGUCCCGGGAAAUAGCCCCAGCAUCAGACCGUACCCCAAACCGACACAGGUGGACUGGUAGAGCAUACCGAGGCGCUUGAGAGAACGGUGUUGAAGGAACUCGGCAAAUUGCCCCCGUAACUUCGGGAGAAGGGGGCCCCGGCCUUGGGCAACCAGGGUCGGGGGGCACAGACCAGGGGGUGGCGACUGUUUACUAAAAACACAGGACUCUGCGAAGUCG